GAAAAAUAUAGAAAUAAAAGUCGCUUACAAUGCAUAAUGCAUGGAAAAUAAAUUAAACGCGGAAACCUAUAUAUCUUUUUUAAUACAUUCUGUGUACUUUUUAUUAGGAAAGAUACAAUAUCUAUUGAGUAACAGGCUUCUCAAAUAGUGAAUUCCACUUAGCCGCUCAUUGCCCACCGUUAGCCACAGCACACUCCAAUUACCUUGACGAUUCGCCGAGAAGGAGCGCGUUCGAAUAUCCC